AUUGAACGCUGGCGGCAGGCCUAACACAUGCAAGUCGAGCGGAUGAAGGGAGCUUGCUCCUGGAUUCAGCGGCGGACGGGUGAGUAAUGCCUAGGAAUCUGCCUGGUAGUGGGGGAUAACGUCCGGAAACGGGCGCUAAUACCGCAUACGUCCUGAGGGAGAAAGUGGGGGACCUUCGGACCUCACGCUAUCAGAUGAGCCUAGGUCGGAUUAGCUAGUUGGUGGGGUAAAGGCCUACCAAGGCGACGAUCCGUAACUGGUCUGAGAGGAUGAUCAGUCACACUGGAACUGAGACACGGUCCAGACUCCUACGGGAGGCAGCAGUGGGGAAUAUUGGACAAUGGGCGAAAGCCUGAUCCAGCCAAGCCGCGUGUGUGAAGAAGGUCUUCGGAUUGUAAAGCACUUUAAGUUGGGAGGAAGGGCAGUAAGUUAAUACCUUGCUGUUUUGACGUUACCAACAGAAUAAGCACCGGCUAACUUCGUG
rnacentral:rRNA from 1 species